rnacentral:rRNA from 1 species
GAGAGCGGCGAACGGGUGAGUAACGCGUACACGACCUACCUUUGACUGGGGGAUAGCCCUGGGAAACUGGGAUUAAUACCGCAUAUUAUUCUGAUUAAUAAAGAAUUGGAAUGAAAGUUCAGGCGGUCAAAGAUGGGUGUGCGUCUGAUUAGCUAGUUGGUAGGGUAACGGCCUACCAAGGCGAUGAUCAGCAGGGGGCGUGAGAGCGUGAUCCCCCACACGGGUACUGAGACACGGACCCG